rnacentral:ncRNA from 1 species
UAGAAUUUGUAUUAAAAAUUUUAAAAAAAAUUAAUAAAUUUAAUUAUAGUUUUAAAGUUAACUUUAAAAUUUAUGUAUAUAUAAAUAUUAAAAAUUUAAUAUAAAAUUAGUAGUAUAUAGAUUUAAUAAAAUUAAAAAAAUUUAAUUUUAGGAAUUUUUAUAAUUUAGAUAAAUAAUUGUGCCAGCAAUCGUGGUUAAACAAUUUAGAUAAGUUAAUUUAAUUAAAUUAAAAUUAAAUGAAUAUUUAUAAUAAAAAUUUAAAUUGUUAGGUGAAAUUAAUUAAUUAAUAGUUAUUAUAGUAUAGUAUAAAUUGAGUUUUUAAAAGAUUUUUAAAAAACUAGGAUUAGAUACCCUAUUAUAUAAUUUAAAGAGUGUAAUUUUAAUAUUAAAUGAUUAAUCAUUAAAUUUAAAUAAUUUGGCGGUAUUUUAAUUUUAUUAGAGGAAUUUGUUAAUUAAUUGAUAAUACUCGAUAAGUUAAACUUUAAUUAAAUUUUUAUAUUGUUGUUUUAAGAGUAUUUUUGGAAAAAUUAUUCAAAAUUUUAAAAAAAAAAUAAUUCAGAUCAAAAUGGAGUGAAUAUUAAAGAAUUAAUGAAUUACAAUAAAUUUAAUUUAAAUGGAUUUAUAAUUUAAAAAUUAUAAUGAAGGUGGAUUUAAAAGUAAAAUAAAAUAAUUAUUUUAUUUGAUUUAAAUUUUAAAGUAUGUACAAAUUGCCCGUCGUUCUCUUUGAAAAAGGAGGUAAGUCGUAACAAAGUAAAAGUACUGGAAAGUGUUUUUAGAU